GGCGAACGGGUGAGUAAUGCAUCGGAACGUGCCUAUCAGUGGGGGAUAACGCUUCGAAAGGAGUGCUAAUACCGCAUAUUCUCCGAGGAGGAAAGCAGGGGACCUUAGGGCCUUGCGCUGAUAGAGCGGCCGAUGUCGGAUUAGCUAGUUGGUGAGGUAAAGGCUCACCAAGGCGACGAUCCGUAGCGGGUCUGAGAGGAUGAUCCGCCACACUGGGACUGAGACACGGCCCAGACUCCUACGGGAGGCAGCAGUGGGGAAUUUUGGGCAAUGGGCGCAAGCCUGAUCCAGCCAUGCCGCGUGAGUGAAGAAGGCCUUCGGGUUGUAAAGCUCUUUCGGCCGGGAAGAAAUCGUGGUCUCUAACAUAGGCCAUGGAUGACGGUACCGGACUAAGAAGCACCGGCUAACUACGUGCCAGCAGCCGCGGUAAUACGUAGGGUGCGAGCGUUAAUCGGAAUUACUGGGCGUAAAGCGUGCGCAGGCGGUUGUGUAAGACAGGCGUGAGA
rnacentral:rRNA from 1 species